GGGUGUAUAGCUCAGUCGUAGAGGGCAUGCUUAGCAUGCACGAGGUCCUGGGUUCAAUCCCCAGUACCUCCA
rnacentral:tRNA from 1 species